CCUACGGGAGGCAGCAGUGGGGAAUAUUGGACAAUGGGCGAAAGCCUGAUCCAGCAAUGCCGCGUGAGUGAUGAAGGCCUUCGGGUUGUAAAGCUCUGUCGGGAGGGACGAAAAAGCCAAGGUAAUGCUUGGUAUUGACGGUACCUCCAAAGGAAGCACCGGCUAACUCUGUGCCAACAGCCGCGGUAAUACAGAGGGUGCAAGCGUUGUUCGGAAUUACUGGGCGUAAAGCGCGUGUAGGCGGCGUCGUUAGUCGGAUGUGAAAGCCCUCGGCUCAACCGAGGAAGUGCAUCCGAUACUGCGAGGCUUGAGUGUUGGAGGGGGUGGCGGAAUUCCCGGUGUAGAGGUGAAAUUCGUAGAUAUCGGGAGGAACGCCUGUGGCGAAGGCGGCCACCUGGACAACAACUGACGCUGAGACGCGAAAGCGUGGGUAGCAAACAGGAUUAGAUACCCUGGUAGUCCACGCUGUAACGAUAGAGUGCUAGACGUACGACGGGUAGUUCGUACCCGUCGUGGUGUCGUAAGUUAACUACGUUAAGUACGACUCCGCCGUGGGAGGUACGGUCGCGAGAAGUUAAACGUACGUUAAGAAGUAGUUAGGCGUGAGACGUUGCCGACGGACGACGACGAGGGAGGAGG
rnacentral:rRNA from 1 species